CCAACUCGUCGAGUUCGGCUCCUGACUCGGCGAGUACCAUCGUGCAUUCUGUCCUCUACAUUUCCUCUGACUCACCGAGUCACUUCCCCAACUCAGUGAGUCACCAACUGUGUGAUUAUCAGGAAAACCCUCGUCCUACUCGGCGAGUCGGCUAUCGGACUCGGCGAGUUCAUGCCAUGCUCAAGCUGAACUGACCUCCUGAGGUCAGAUCCGCUCCUCUAAACCGUAGAUCCAGCUUCCCAAAGCAUUAUAAUCACGUAAAGCUAACAUCUUGGUGCUCAUGCAAAGGCUCAAAGGCCUUAUUUGAAGAUAUGACCUCUAAAAUGACAUCCUAAGCUUAUAAACCCCAUUAACACUCAUAAAGCUCAAGGGAAAAGGGUCUCUGGACCUCUUUGGGUCCAGAUCUACAGCACCAACACGAGAAGGGACCAAUUACUCAAUAUAACCUUCCUCUAAAAGGGCUAAAAAAAGCCCUAACUCUAGGAAUUACACCAUAAACUGAAGAAGGGUCGAAUGAAUACCUCAAAAUGAAGUCUCUGAGCCCUGGAAUCACUAGAUUAGCACCCUCUUCAGCUUCCUCUUGUCUUGAUCCUCUUCUAUUUUUAAAAACACUAACAAAUGAUCAAGAAAUGGUUCCUUUCCUCUCACAAUCGCUCUAGCUCACUUAGGGUUUCCCUCUGGGUCUGGUAGCUNCGAUCCCUGAUCGCCACCGGUCUCUCAACUUAGUUCAGGCCCACAUCCACCUGAAUAUCCGCUAAUGGCACCACUGCCGACUCGUCGACUAUACACUUUCUCAGCUGCGACAUGUGGAAGGUGUCAUGAAUCUGACCUAACUCUGCAGGUAGCUCCAAAGGGUAUGCUACCCUUCCUACUCUUGCAAUCCCCCUGAAAGGACCAACACAUCGGGGCCCUGGCUUGCCUCUCUUCCUAAAUCGGAUCAUUCCUAUCCAAGGAGAGACCUUGAGGAGCACGGAGUCACCGACCAAAAUUUGAGCUCAGACCGGCGCCUGUCCGCAUAACUCUUCUGGCGACUCUGAUCGGUCAACAACCUCUGUCUGACCUAUUGUAUCUGCUCUAUCGUCUGAAGCACGAUCUCUGUACUACCCAUCACACGCUGCCCUACCUCUUCCAUCAAAUGGGGUCCGAUACUUCCUCCCAUACAACAGCUCAAAGGGUGGCAUACUGAUGCACUAAUGAUGGUUGUUGUUGUAGGAAAACUCUACCAAAGGCAAAUACGGGNCCCCCCCCCCCGAAAUCUAAUACACAUGCCAGAAGCAUGUCCUCGAGCGUCUGAAUCGUUCGCUCGCUUUGAAGUGUCCACAGACAUCACCAUGGUAAACUCUAACUCAUUUCUCAUAUCCCUCUUCGAUACUGAGCACCAGGUCAACUUUUGGCCCCACAGCUGAACCUCCAAAGGUCACGCAUAACAUGAUCCAAAAUAUCUCACUAACUUCCUCCCCGUGACCACUAUCCUGGCCCAGCGACACGCAAGUCACGAAAUUCUCUUCUCCUGAUAAAAGAUACAAUCCAAUCGAAGAUCGACUUAGCUCUGACCUCUGGCGUCUGUUGCGUAUAUUCUCCCGUGCAUCUCGUUGACUCUCCCGACAAAGAUGGAGACCCCAGUCUCGCCCCGGUUUAACCACUAAGCUCCAUAAACUCAAUACUAGGGCUACUCAAGCCUAAAACUCUUCUGCAUCGUACACUGAUCGAAGAACACUCCAUCAUCACACUCUCUUGCCGUCUAGUGAGUGUUAUGGCUUCCUGCAACAUCACGACAGCUCCUGACUAGUGAGUACUACGACCCCCCUCGUAGCACCCUAACACCAACUGACUAGUGAGUACUACGGCUCACCGCAAUACCACGACUCCCUCUCUUUGACUUGUGAGUACUACAGCUCCCCGUAGCAUCACAACACCCUCUGACUGGUGAAUACUAAGAAUCCCCGUAGUAUCACGACUCUCUCUCUGGCUUGUGAGUACUACGGCUCCCAGUAGCAUCACAACACCCUCUGACUAGUGAAUACUACGGCUCCCCGUAGCUUCACCCUAUACUCUCAUUCUCAUUACAACUCCACACUACGUUCACUAACUCAUGCACCGAAGACUAUCAUAGAUAGUUACACACACUUUCCCCAAUAUGCAUCACAGACUCUGGCGGCAACCGCUAUAACACAGAACCUACCUCUGCGGAGAUCCACUUCCUCAAAUAAUCCCUCUUGAUGUCAAUACGCGAAGGGCUCCCACUGGAACCGGAGAUACCUGAUACAUCACUAGUCGUCUCAAACUCAAGACUCUAAAUAACUCCGCAAUUGGGACGCUAUACGCGGAAACCCCGGAACACCAUUAUAGAGCAUCACAAUGUCCUGCCUCUACCACUGAUUCUCCUACUCCCAGUACCAUACAUAUACAGCAAUACAUUCCCUUUGAACCCCAUAAGUAAUCCUCAUUUCACUCAAUGCGCAACUUCAGUGUAUCCAAACACUCAAUAGAAAUACAAGGAAGGCGCUAACACUUCAGAACACACUGAUGAUCCUCCGAAACCCUUUCCUCUACUGCUCAAAGUCCAAGCAAGAAUACACAUACCCGCCCGGGAGUUGGCCGCUCGACGAUCUUCUACCCAGACUUCGACCCAGAAGUUCUCAACUGCCCAUACCAUCAUUACGAGCCUUCCACUUGAAACGGCCAUGACCACCACCAGGUUCCUGACCAUUGACCACCUGCCGUGGAGACACUCAUCUUUUCCUCAGACAUAUACCACAUGCAUCAUCUCGUCCGGUACCUUUCCUUGAUCACCAAUGACCCCGAUCUCAUGAAUUCAAGCCNUGAUUCCCUCAAUAAAAUACCCGGUUCUCCCCCACUUAGGUUUCGAACCAUCACCAACUGACGCAUCAACAAUCUACCCCACAGACGACUUAUACCAGAAACAUCGCAACUACGUUUGGAAGGUGCCACACAAUGCCCAAUGUUCUCCCCACGAAGAGAUCAAGAACCCUCAAUUACCCUAAAUCUCCUAAAAUAUCCUUAGGAACCCCUCAUUACGACUGCCUCUAGCCAUUCGAAGUCCCAUACCAUUCCAAUACCGAACACCUCAACUGUCCAGUACUAUCACUGACUCUUAGACUGAAAUAAUAAAUCAUCCUACCUCCAUCCUCGACUUCUCAGCCUCCGCUCCCACACAUGAAUCAUCUCAAGAAUAGGGACUCUACUACCGUACUCAAUACUCAUCAUAGACAGAAGAGCCACCGCUCUGAUAUACUCGACUGGGUUACCCACUGAUACCACUACCACACGCCCUAUUAUACUCAAUUAGGGUGUAAUGUGAUCCUUGACCAUUUCAGUCCCCACUGACUACCUGCUCAUGGUAGAUCAUUACCUCACGGCAGACAUGUUGCCUGAUACUCUGGUGGAAAAAUCGUCAUCAAUGUCGACCCGUAGGGUUUAUUCCUAAGACCAAAACUAAAAAUCUCAUGCCUCUCCUACUUCCUACGGGAAACAUAAAUAGCUCCCAUCCGGUCACAAAAGGUGAUAUCUCCUCCAUCGGCUGAUGGCUCACUCAGACCACAUUCCCCCAUAAAUACCUUCUCUUCGUCUUACCGAAAUACUCUGAAAUAUUCCCGACCUCCCUCUCAGGGGAUGCCUCUUCGAACUCGAUCAUGGCCCUCAGGCCUAAAACCCCAUUGUGUCCAAAUUCCAGCAGUUAAUCUUGACCGGACAACUGGAGAAUUACCAGCAUCGUUGCUAGGAACCAUGGUACUCAACCCAUGACAUCCCUUCUCAAUCUGCUACAAUAUAUGGUACCCGAACCACAACAUUAUUCCUCAAUCUGCUCCGAUGCAUGGUACACGAACCAUAACAUCACUCCUAAACCUGCUCCGAUGUAUGGCACACGAACCAUAACACCACUCCUAAAUCUGCUCCGAUGUAUGGUAUACGAACCAUAACAUCACUCCUCAAUCUGCUCCGAUGUAUGGCACACGAACCAUAACAUCACUCCUCAAUCUGCUCCGAUGUAUGGUACACGAACCAUAACAUCACUCCUCAAUCUGCUCCGAUGUAUGGCACACGAACCAUAACAUCAAUCCUUAAUCUGCUCCGAUAUAUGGUACACGAACCAUAACAUCAGUCCUCAAUCUGCUCCGAUGUAUGGUACACGAACCAUAACGUCACUCCUCAAUCUGCUCCGAUGGAUGGCACACGAACCAUAACAUCACUCCUCAAUCUGCUCCAAUGUAUGGUACACGAACCAUAACCUCAAUCUGCUCCGAUGUAUGGCACACGAACCAUAACAUCACUCCUCAAUCUGCUACUUAGAACCUUCAGAAUACUCCCUGUGUCGAGUAUGGGUCCUCUGCUUUCGGUAGUACGGGCCCAUACUACCUGCCACAUCUACCCAUACUUUCCACACGGACCAUCCUAGAGCUCCUAAGUAGCUGCUCAACCUUCUCGUUCACUAAUUCCACCACGCGUGCUCGCUCCUCAGCGAAAUGUUCUACUCUGUCAGCGUACUCAUCUGACUAAGGUUACUCUCUAGGCUCUUCCUUGGUCCUCCCACUUCUCUGCCAUUAGCUACUGAAGAGCUCCUAAUGAUGCCAGCCAUCUACCUCCUGAAUAUCGUCAUAUUCUAUUGGUAGCUGACUCCCAUCAUCGAGAGUUCCACAAAGCACGAAGAAAGAAACAUUCGUGGAUCGAAGAAUACAUAGGACUCACUCUGGGUGAUAACUCCGCUUGCUCUGCUCAUCUACGAAAGUACCACUGAACUCUGCAACUCUACCCCUCGCGGGUUCUAACUAUUCUUUCGCUAAGUACCACGGUACUCAUCUAGGCAUCUCCCCUAGAUUACUCCUCUACUCAAAUCCCCUAAAGGAUUCCAGCUAAAUAUUCUCACUCAUCACAUACUCAAACGCACAUCACAUAUAACAGCAACCCCUAGGCUAAAGCAUCACAAAUCAGGCCACUCUAGUCCUAAGAUAUGAAGUACCUAGCCUGUCUCUAGCAUGCAUAAUAUUUCAUAAAGUGCAUCAUAAAUAUCUCACAACACAAAAGUAAGGGUAUUUUGGGAAAUCACCGUUCGGGCGGUGACUGAUCGUACACACGACUCUGCUCUGUGUUUUCCAAAAAUCUUUUACUCUUUUUAGAAAACUUGGUUCUUUUUUGAAAAUAUUUCUCAAAUCCUCAGUUUGAGUUCAAAUACGCCCGAAGGUGUACUCGAAUCCCUCAAACCAAGGCUCUGAUACCAACUUGUAACACCGUGAAUUUCAAAACAACUUUUCGCAUUUUAUAAAAACAUAAUUCAUUCAUUAUUCAUGAAAACAUCAUUGUUUAAAACCUAAUUCGUAACAUAUAUCAAUCCCAAGAUCUCAUAACAUAAAAAUCCCGUGUGUGUACUGAUCAGGCCGGCGCCUUCCCGCGAUCCUCAAUAGUACCUGAAACACAUAACACAAAACAUUGUAAGCACGAAGCUUAGUGAGUUCCCCAAAAUACCAUAUAUAUAUAUAUAACACAUAUUAGCCACUCAUGGCUAUAACUCUGUGGGUCCGUGCACCCAAACUCUGUGAACCUUCCGGUUCUAACUCUGAGAACCUUACGGUUCUAACUCUGUAACAUGCACAUCAUAAAUCACAUAGAAAUAAUGUAGUACAACACAUAACAUACAUAGCAUACAAUUACUCUGAUACAUAACUCUGGUUACCUACUCAAGGUAAGGUAUAGUGAGAAGACUCACCUCGGAUAUCUCAGUAAAUCUCUGACUCGGUAAACUCUGGUCUAGCCCCUGCCUAUUCACAUGAAAUAAAUACUCUAAUUAAUACAACUCUCAGGGCUAGGAUAAUCUCUCUCUCUCUCUCUCUCUAUACAUCCUCUAGGAAGGGUAAAAGACUAUCCUACCCUUCCGAUGACUCUAAGGUCCAAACAUUGACUAACCCUAAAAGUCAACGAAGUCAACGGUCAACCUUGACCAAACUCGCCGAGUGCACAACUGUGACUCGGCGAGUCCACACGUGUUCUUCACUCUCUUAGUCCUCAUUCCAUUCACCGAGUCAACCCCAACUCUGCAAAUCAUCACUGAUCACAAUCUGUGAAAUGUCCCGACCCAACUCGUCGAGUUCGGCNCUCUGUCCUCUAGAUUCCCUCUGACUCACCGAGUCACUUCCCCAACUCAGUGAGUCACCAACUGUGUGAUUAUCGGGAAAACCCUCGUCCUACUCGGCGAGUCGGCUAUCGGACUCGGCGAGUUCAUGCCAUGCUCAAGCUGAACUGACCUCCUGAGGUCAGAUCCGCUCCUCUAAACAGUAGAUCAGGCUUCCCAAAGCAUUAUAAUCAUGUAAAGCUAACAUCUUGGUGCUCAUGCAAAGGCUCAAAGGCCUUAUUUGAAGAUAUGACCUCUAAAAUGACAUGCUAAGCUUAUAACCCCCAUUAACACUCAUAAAGCUCAAGGGAAAAGGGUCUCUGGUCCUCUUUGGGUCCAGAUCUACAGCACCAACACGAGAAGGGACCAAUUACUCAAUAUAACCUUCCUCUAAAGGGGCUAAAAAAGCCCUAACUCUAGGAAUUACACCAUAAACUGAAGAAGGGUCGAAUGAAUACCUCAAAAUGAAGUCUCUGAGCCCUGGAAUCACUGGAUUAGCACCCUCUUCAGCUUCCUCUUGUCUUGAUCCUCUUCUAUUUGCAAAAACACUAACAAAUGAUCAAGAAAUGGCUCCUUUCCUCUCACAAUCGCUCUAGCUCACUUAGGGUUUCUCUCUGGGGUCUGGUAGCCACAAAUGACGGCCAUAAGGCCCUUUAAAUAGGCCCCAAACCCGAGGAAUUAGGGUUUCAUUAAACAGCGUGGACUCGCCGAGUCCUUGGGGCGACUCGCCGAGUCCAACCAUCCACCCAGAUAAUGAUUCGCGUCUCUACUCGGCGAGUCUACGC
rnacentral:lncRNA from 1 species